GUACGGGGGGGGCAAGCGUUGUUCGGAAUUACUGGGCGUAAAGGGCUCGUAGGCGGCCAACUAAGUCAGACGUGAAAUCCCUCGGCUUAACCGGGGAACUGCGUCUGAUACUGGAUGGCUUGAGUUUGGGAGAGGGAUGCGGAAUUCCAGGUGUAGCGGUGAAAUGCGUAGAUAUCUGAAGGAACACCGGUGGCGAAGGCGGCAUCCUGGACCAACACUGACGCUGAGUGAGCGAAAGCCAGGGGAGCAAACGGG
rnacentral:rRNA from 1 species